rnacentral:rRNA from 1 species
GAUGAACGCUGGCGGCGUGCUUAACACAUGCAAGUCGAACGAGAGAAGAUUGGUGCUUGCACUGAUCCGAUCGAGUGGCGGACGGGUGAGUAACGCGUGGGUAACCUGCCUCAUACAGGGGAAUAACAGUUGGAAACGGCUGCUAAAACCGCAUAAGCGCACAGUAUCGCAUGAUACAGUGUGAAAAACUCCGGUGGUAUGAGAUGGACCCGCGUCUGAUUAGCUAGUUGGUGAGGUAACGGCCCACCAAGGCAACGAUCAGUAGCCGGCCUGAGAGGGUGAACGGCCACAUUGGGACUGAGACACGGCCCAAACUCCUACGGGAGGCAGCAGUGGGGAAUAUUGCACAAUGGGGGAAACCCUGAUGCAGCGACGCCGCGUGAGUGAUGAAGUAUUUCGGUAUGUAAAGCUCUAUCAGCAGGGAAGAUAAUGACGGUACCUGACUAAGAAGCACCGGCUAAAUACGUGCCAGCAGCCGCCGUAA